rnacentral:rRNA from 1 species
GAUGAACGCUGGCGGCGUGCCUAAUACAUGCAAGUCGAGCGAACAGACGAGGAGCUUGCUCCUCUGACGUUAGCGGCGGACGGGUGAGUAACACGUGGAUACCCUACCUAUAAGACUGGGAUAACUUCGGGAAACCGGAGCUAAUACCGGAUAAUAUAUUGAACCGCAUGGUUCAAUAGUGAAAGACGGUUUUGCUUUCACUUAUAGAUGGAUCCGCGCCGCAUUAGCUAGUUGGUAAGGUAACGGCUUACCAAGGCAACGAUGCGUAGCCGACCUGAGAGGGUGAUCGGCCACACUGGAACUGAGACACGGUCCAGACUCCUACGGGAGGCAGCAGUAGGGAAUCUUCCGCAAUGGGCGAAAGCCUGACGGAGCAACGCCGCGUGAGUGAUGAAGGUCUUCGGAUCGUAAAACUCUGUUAUUAGGGAAGAACAAAUGUGUAAGUAACUAUGCACGUCUUGACGGUACCUAAUCAGAAAGCCACGGCUAACUACGUG